UCUAAACAAAACCCAAAUUCUAAACGACACCCUAAGGGCUGUAUAUAUGGAGGAAGAGGGGGGGGGGGAAUUUCGUGGCCCUUGGGGAAGGGGUCCGAAACCAACCCUAUCUCUUGUUUCCCCACACAUACGGACUCUAAAAACAGCCUAUACUGAAGUAUUUCGAAAAUACAUGGGCCUGGCCCAAUAAUAAGGUGACGCAGCACCUAGAAUAGCCUCUGGACGAAAGUUAUGAAGUGGCAUCUUGUAUAUUUCGUCCAAGGCUUCAUGCACACAUUAUG
rnacentral:rRNA from 1 species